rnacentral:rRNA from 1 species
AGGAAAGAAACUAACAAGGAUUCCCCUAGUAACUGCGAGUGAAGCGGGAAAAGCUCAAAUUUAAAAUCCCUCGGGAAUUGUAAUCUAGAGAAGUGUUUUCGGUCGUUGCCUCGGACAAGUCCUUUGGAACAAGGCGUCAUAGAGGGUGAGAAUCCCGUCCUUGCCGAGCUACCAACGUCUAUGUGAUACACUCUCGAAGAGUCGAGUUGUUUGGGAAUGCAGCUCAAAACGGGUGGUAAACUCCAUCUAAAGCUAAAUAUUGGCGAGAGACCGAUAGCGAACAAGUACCGUGAGGGAAAGAUGAAAAGCACUUUGGACAGAGAGUUAAACAGUACGUGAAAUUGUUGAAAGGGAAACGCUUGAAGUCAGUCGCGUUGCAGGGACUCAGCCGCAAGGUGCAUUUCUCGGUAACGGGUCAACAUCAGUUUCGAGCGCGGGAAAAGGGCUUGGGGAAUGUGGCAGCCUCGGCUGUGUUAUAGCCCCCUGUCGUACACCGCGCCCGGGACUGAGGACCGCUAAUAGGAUGUUGACGUAAUGGCUUUAAGCGACCC